GAUGAACGCUGGCGGCGUGCCUAAUACAUGCAAGUCGAGCGAACGGACGAGAAGCUUGCUUCUCUGAUGUUAGCGGCGGACGGGUGAGUAACACGUGGAUAACCUACCUAUAAGACUGGGAUAACUUCGGGAAACCGGAGCUAAUACCGGAUAAUAUUUUGAACCGCAUGGUUCAAAAGUGAAAGACGGUCUUGCUGUCACUUAUAGAUGGAUCCGCGCUGCAUUAGCUAGUUGGUAAGGUAACGGCUUACCAAGGCAACGAUGCAUAGCCGACCUGGGAGGGUGAUCGGCCACACUGGAACUGAGACACGGUCCAGACUCCUACGGGAGGCAGCAGUAGGGAAUCUUCCGCAAUGGGCGAAAGCCUGACGGAGCAACGCCGCGUGAGUGAUGAAGGUCUUCGGAUCGUAAAACUCUGUUAUUAGGGAAGAACAUAUGUGUAAGUAACUGUGCUCAUCUUGACGGUACCUAAUCAGAAAGCCACGGCUAACUACGUG
rnacentral:rRNA from 1 species